AAAGUACUCCCUCCGUCCCAAAAUUCUUGUCUUAGAUUUGUCUAGAUACGGAUGUAUCUAAUACUUACAUCCGUAUCUAGACAAAUCUAAGACAAGAAAUUUGGGACAGAGGGAGUAGUUG
rfam:Triticum aestivum genome assembly, contig: Triticum_aestivum_CS42_TGACv1_scaffold_543614_6DS